AGUCUUUAAGGUGCCACCAGACUCCUUGUUGUUUUUGUAGAUUACCUCUGUAUGCAUAGGAAAUAGAAGAUUCAAACUUCAAAGCACUGGUCCAUUGUCUAUUUUUCCUCGGAGGAAAGCACUGCUCUGACAAUUGCUAUGAGGAGGUUUGUCAGCCUGCUUGAGAGCUAUAAAUAAGAAGCCUUAGGCCUGAUCCUGUCAUCUUUAUGAUGCUUAAACUUUGAACAGGGAAAGUGUAAGUCGUACAACUAAGAUCUUCUAAAUAGUUAUUUGGAAUACCCUGGAAAAUGCGUGCAAUGACUCUAUUAGACUUUACAUCUAAGCUGCAUUUGGAUUCAAACUUUUUGGGAUGAUUCCAGAGACUUUUACAAAUCAGCAGCCUUGCCAUCUCUUUUAUGAAACUGACCUUUACACUCAGUUGUAUGUAUAUUGAUCUUUUAACCAUUUAUAAAUCUUUCUUUUUCCUUUUAUUAAUAAACCCUAGAUUUAGUUAUUAAGCAUUGGCUGUAAGCAUGUAUUUAGAUAAGAUCUGAGGAUAAGUGUCUGAUCCUCUGGGAUUGGUAGAACUUUAUGUAUGGUGUAUAGGGUUUUCGGUAACCCCUCACUAUAUUAGACUUGGUUGUCCAGAUGGAAGCCAAGAGCUGGAAUGCUGAAAGGGAACUGUGUUUGGCUUCUUGUUAACCACUGUGGUACUAUAGAAGCUCUUUUGUUACUGCCUUAGUGAAUCUAAUUAUAGAAUAAACCACCAGUUCUAGGAAUUGUUUGCCCUAUUUCUUGCAGUCUGCCCUGAGCGUUGCAUUCUCAGUGUGGUCCAUCUAGGCCCCUGGUCACACUUGUAUAACAUCAUUAACAAAUAUUCCAGCGAUAAAAUAAUUACAUUCAUUACAUUUAGAAGAUGGUCAUAUGGUAACAAUUGCACUUAAUAUCUGACCCUUGACUUGUGAGCCAUCUGGGAUGGGUAGAAUCUGCUAUCAGAAAGGAAGUUAUCUGUAAGAAGUUUUUCAUUAUACACCCCAGUGCCUUCCACAAUUCUGGAUGGCAGGGAAAUAGCAAGCAAUGAACAGAACGUUAUGAAACAAACAUUCAGGGGGAAAGAAGUGUAACCCCCUUUUUAUGAGCUCACUCAGAAAUCUGUUAUUUCUGGGCUACUGCUUGCAGCAUCUUCUUGCCAAAGGAAAUCUCUACAGAAGACAAAAGGUCCAUCUUAUAGUGCUUAAUGAAGGUAUCAGCUAUAGACCAAGUGGUCGCUUUGCAAAUUUCUUAAGUGGACACACUUGUUCUGUCCGUGAGGUUGCUAAGUAUCUUGCAGAGUGUGCCUUGAUCCCUUUUGGGGCAGGAGCCUCUGACAAUGUGUAGGCUUCCACACUGCAUGGCCUAAAAUCUAGCUAGCAAUGAAAAACUUGAAAGCUCUAAGUCUCUAGCAUUUUAGGUCAAAGGAUACAAGUAGAUGUAGAUUCUGUAUACCUGAGAUACAUUUUCAAUGCUCUUCUGACAUCUAAAGUGUGCCCCAUCUUUUCAAUUGGAUAUUAUGGUUUUGGACAGAAUGAAGGAAGCACAACCUCUUUGGAAAUGUGGAAAGAGGAAUUUACCUUUAGAAGAAAGGAUUCUGGUGUCCUGAACACACAGUAAGGCUCCUGCAUACAUAAGGCUACCAGCUCUGGCAAGUGCCUGGCAUGCACGAGAGCUACUAAAACAAGUCUUAAUGGAUAAAUAAAAGGCUGACUCUUAAAACAGAAGCUUGAAGGGAUGGCUCAUCAGGGUGCUCAAAAGGUAAUGGAAGAUCCCAUUUUGGCUGAUCAGACUGCUUGUAGGAAUCUGGCUACCUGUGGAUUGUUUACCAAGGACCCCAAGGAUCCUUUGAAUAGCAUGUCAUUAAGAGCAGACACCUGAUACAUAGUGCUACUGGGCUGAAGACCUCUAGCUGUACCUUCUUAGAGAAAGUCCAGAAUGGGUAGAAUUCCUGGAUUUCUGGGAUUUGCAUUGUGGUUUUGGCACCAGUUGCUGAAUCUGGACCAGGUAGAGUAUGCUUUUAGUGUCAAUACUCUCCUAGAUGAAAGCAAUGUCUUAAUGAUUAUGACAGACGGAGUCCAUUCCCCCUCAAUAGCCAGGGUGUUAGUUGAAUCCAUUUUUGUGUGGAUGAAGAAAAGGGCCUUGGCAAGAGGCUAUCUGGUCUCCUCAGAUGCUUGAGUGGGGGAUCUAGUGUCAGCUCUAUCCCAUCUGAGCCUCAGCCAAGGAUGAUUUAUCAGCAUUAUCAUCGCCUUUUCUUGUUUUAUUUUCUGAACCACUUUCCCCAGUAGCAGAAAGGGUGGAAAUGCAUAAAGUAGGCUCUGUGGCUAACUGCACUAUUAAGCAUCAGUUCCUAUGGAUCUGGUGUCUGCUUUGUGAAUUUUUUUGGUCUCUUAAUUCAUACAAUUCACGAACAGGUCAGUUGAUGGGAGGCCAGACGUCUAACCGAUAAGCUUGAAAAUAUUUUGAUUCAGGCAGCUUGGAAUUGUUGAUCCUGUGACUGCUGAGCCAGUCUGCCUUUUGAUUCAGGUCUUCAUUCUGUCCUUCAGAGCGAUCCACAUCAAAGAACUCUUCUGCUUACCUCAUUAUUUCCACUUCUUCUAUGUGUAGAGCCAGACUCCUUGUUUCCCCUUGGUUGUUUCAAUAUGUGACCGUAGUCAUAUUGUCUGAUUGAACCAGAAUAUGGUUCCCCCUGUGGGUGGAACCUUUGCAGAGCUAGAUUGACCAAUCAACUUUAGGUUUAUGCUGUGAGCCUUUUCCGUCUCACUCCAGACAUCCUGAGCUGUUUGGGUCUCCAACUGAGCUCCCCAGUCCUCUAGGCUAAGAUCAGUUGUGAGGACUAAAGGAUCUGGAAGGCAGAUGGGCAUACUUUUGCAGACAUUGUCAUGAACUGACUACAGUUAUAAGGAGCUGAACACCUGUGCUGGACCCUGUAUUUGAUCUUUCAUUUGUUCUGGGGAGUAGUUCUUUCUUCUUCGAGUGAUUGCUCAUGUGUAUUCCACAGUAGGUGAUUCCAAGCCAUCCCUGUUGGAAGUGGGUAGGAGUUCACGAUAGACCGGGACAGAGUACCGCCCUGCCGAACCCGGCGUCAUCCCUAGACUGGGAGACGAUCGCUUAAUGCGAAGUGAACGUGUGAACUGAGGCCCAAGUGGCCGCUCUACAACUGUCUUGGAUAGGAACAUGGGCUAUGAAGGCAGCUGAUGAGGCCUGAGCCCUCAUUGAGUGUACCCUAACGAUUGGUGGCGGGGGAACCCCUGCCAGGUCAUAGCAGGUGCGUAUAUAUGAGGUAAUCCAGCAGGAAAGUCGCUGGGUGGAAAUAGGUUGCCCCUUCACCCAAGGCAACAAAAAGCUGGGAGGAUUUCCGGAACGGUUUGGUCCAAUCUAGGUAGAAUGCCAGCGCUCUACGUACAUCGAGCGUGUGGAGGCGGCGUUCCUCAUUGGAGGAAUAGAGCUUAGGACAGAGCACGGGGAGAAAGAUGGUCUGAUCCAUAUGGAAGGCAGAGGCCACCUUCGGGAGGAAUGCCGGGUGUGGUCGAAGCUGCACCUUAUCCCUGUGGAAGACCGUAUAGGAAGGUUCCGAGGUCAAGGCCCUGAGUUCCGAGACACGGUGGACCAACAUGAUUGCUACAAGGAAGGCCACCUGCCAUGAGAGGACUUUGUCGAUGAGGGGGAACGGUGGGAAAGCGUAAGGGAGCCAGCCUGACCACCGCAGAAGGAAUGCAUCGGAGAUCGUGCCCCUCCCCAUCCGGAGCAGAACCGGGGGCAACACCGGUUCUGACGGGUUGCAAAGAGGUCGACCUGGGGAACUCCCCAAUCUCGGAAGAGCCGACGCCUGGGAGGUGCACAGCCCUCAGGGAGAUAUCGUGGGCUAUACAGGGUGUCCCGGCAGAGGGCUAGGGAGCGAGUCCUGCCUUGCCUGUUGAUGUAGUACACGGCGGCGGUGUUGUCCAUGAGGACCCUGACCAGCCUGCCACAAAGGCCGAGACUGGUGCAUGUCAAGAGGAGCAGCUCCACGUGGGCCUUUACCUCAGAAUGCGAGUCGCCCUUGAGAAGCCAAUUGUCCAGGUUGAGUCGACGGUUGCGGUUUGGCCUUGUCCUUAGCUGGAGGGACGUAGAGGCCCAACGUCUGCAGGGUGGUAAAGAAAUUCUUCAUCCGAUGCAGCCUGACAUCCAUCUGGUCCGCGAAGAGCGCUUUCCCAUCAAACGGGAGGUCUUGCAUAAGGGAUUGGGCCUCCGUCAACAGUCCAGACAGGAGGAACCACGAUGCCCUGCGCAUGGAAAUCGCCGAAGCCAUCGAACGGGCUGCAGUGUCGACUGCGUCCGACGCCGCUUGCAGGGCCGCUUUCGCCACUGCCGCCCCCUCUUCCAUCAGGGUCUUAAAGUCCUUCCUAUUCUGAUCCGGGAGGAGAGGCUCAAACUUAGGCAGAGACUCCUACAAGUUAAAGUCAUAUCUGCUCAGCAAGGCCUGGUGGUUGGCUACCCUGAGUUGGAAACUUGCCAAGGAAUAAAUUUUUCUACCAAAGGA